rnacentral:rRNA from 1 species
AACGAACGCUGGCGGCAGGCUUAACACAUGCAAGUCGAACGCCCCGCAAGGGGAGUGGCAGACGGGUGAGUAACACGUGGGAACGUACCCUUUUCUACGGAAUAACCCAGGGAAACUUGGACUAAUACCGUAUGUGCCCUUCGGGGGAAAGAUUUAUCGGAAAAGGAUCGGCCCGCGUUGGAUUAGCAAGUUGGUGGGGUAAAGGCCUACCAAGGCGACGAUCCAUAGCUGGUCUGAGAGGAUGAUCAGCCACAUUGGGACUGAGACACGGCCCAAACUCCUACGGGAGGCAGCAGUGGGGAAUAUUGGACAAUGGGCGCAAGCCUGAUCCAGCCAUGCCGCGUGAGUGAUGAAGGCCUUAGGGUUGUAAAGCUCUUUCACCGGAGAAGAUAAUGACGGUAUCCGGAGAAGAAGCCCCGGCUAACUUCGUGCCAGCAGCCGCAGUAA